GCAUUAAGAAACCUUAUGAUACAAGGGCAGCCACAUGCUUAGUGUUAACCCCUUUCAAACAAUAUAGGAACCAAGAAUUUAUGAGGAUUGAUUUACGCCAAACUAGAAUCACAUCUUGCUUAAUCAUAGUUAUAUACAGUGAGAGCCGAACCUUUCUCAAUAAGAUAGACGCGAAUCUGACGGAGACGGCCCUAUAAAUUUAGGCCGAGGAGCAUUCCUCUGACAGCAUUGGGUCGGCAGUGUAGGAAGCGACGUCGAGCCAGGACGAUGGUUUCACCAGAGGCGAGAGGGCUGGGCCUCGAGUAUGAGUGGUGUUGGGAGCAAGGCGCGACCUCGCUGGAAUUUCGAAGGCCGUAGUGGCGGCAAUAUUGAUGAAGGAGUUAGGGCUCCCUGUUAGGAGAAGAAUUCCACCUGUAUAAAGGCGAGAGGAGGAAGAAUUCCAGAGUCGCGGAGCCGCGACUGAUUUUGAGGAAACAUGAAUGGCAACCGGGCGGAGGAACUAGAAUCGAAAAUUGAGUGAGAGAGCUGAGUUCAGCUGAAGAAAGCAAAAUUGUGGGGAGAAAUUGAGAGAGGAGAGGGAACAUGAAGCUUAGAACGGCGACCUCGCCAGACCUCAGCGGCGGCGGACGGAUCCCGACGGAAGCGAUUUUGAAAGGGAAAAAGAUUAGGGCUUGUGGUGAAAUCACCUCUGGCAGGGGAGGGAGUCCGCGGACAGUCUGUGUUUGUGAGCGAAAGAUUUAGAGACGAGGAGAGAGAGAGGCUCCGGCGCAAGGCGCCGGAAAUUCGUAGGGCAGCGGCGGAUUUCAUGAGUGAGAAAUGGAGAAGGAAAAUGGUUGAGCUUCAGGCAAAAAUUUGAGAGAGAGAGAGAGAGAGAGAGAGGUGCUGCGUGAUGCAGCCGAAAAUUUGAGAGAGGGAAUGGUUUUGGGCUGACUUUUCCUUUGGUCUGGGCCCUUUUUUUUAGUGGGCCGAAGAAGUCAGUUUUGAUUGGGCCGAAUCAGGGUGAAUUUCUUGGGCUGAAGCUGUUAAUUAAUUGGACUAAUGCUUUUAUUAGGUGGGUUGUCCCUCUUAAAUAGUUUCCAGGCCCAGUUUCUUUUAUUAAUUGGACAGUAGAUUACCGCAUUAUUUAUUUAGCCCGAUUGAAUUUUAAUUUAGAUUAAUCUAUUAAUUGGACUUAGUUAAUUCUAUUUAUGGAAUAAUUUAGAAUGAGUUAUUAGCUAAUAAGUGGGUUAACAAACCCUGAAGUGAGUGGAUUAAUUAAGUUUAUUAAUUCAAUCUCCUAAAACGAGUUUUAAUCCGAUAGUCAAGAUUAAUAGUAAAAUUUCUUGAAUUAUUAUUUCAUGAUAAUAAUCACUAGAAUAAGAAGUCAUGCAUAGUUAUUUUAUACAUUCUCAUUCAUUUGAGAAUUAUCAUCGAGUUAAAGUCUUAUAUUAUAUUCUCGCAUUAAAGGUCAGGCGCGAGAGUAAAAGCUAUUCAGGAGUAAUUAAGCUAUAGCAAAGGUUUGCUUAUCAGGUGGGCAUUACUUUCAUAUAUAUCAAAUGAGUUUAAAUGUUACGUUCAAGCAAGUUAUUUCAGGACAAAAUCUUUGAAUUGAAGUUAUUUCAAGUAUUGUCUUGCCAUAAAAUGUUUAAAUUUUAGUAUGAUAUCUAUCUGCUUUGGCUUUGCCAAUGAUGCAAUCGAAUUCGGGUCUUGAGCAGUUGAUAGCUAUCCUGCCUUGGCUAGUGUACACCAGUGACCGUGAGUCAUCUAGCGGGUUGCCGGUCAAGUGUCCGUGAGAGGUGGCCACCUCUCCGGCACACAGCUCCAGAUAUGAUAGAUUACAAGAGAACUUGUACUGCAGACGAACCUUAAGAAUCACAAAUGAAUUUAGUAAGCUUGGGCCUUUUUAGCGAAAAACCCCCUUGCUGUACUAUUUAUGAUGGCAUGACAAUUUACAGUUAUGAAGCAUGUAUUUUUAUACCUAGGCAUACGUGCCCACUGAGUGCUUUUGACUCAGCCCUGCAUAUGUUUUCUAAAUGUGCAGGUUGAGCUGAUGUGAUGAUGGUGCUGCAAUGAGCGGAGUCUCCAGGGUUGUUAAUAUAUAGUUAACCUGUCUAUAAUAUGUCUUCAUACAUAUGUCUAGCUCCUUUCCGCUGCGUACUCAGAAGUUUUAUGUUAUUUUGGNAGAGAGAGAGAGAGAGAGAGAGAGAGGUGCUGCGUGUUGCAGCGAAAAUUUGAGAGAGGGAAUGGUUUUGGGCUGACUUUUCCUUUGGUCUGGGCCCUUUUUUUCAGUUGGGCCGAAGAAGUCAGUUUUGAUUGGGCCGAAUCAGGGUGAAUUUCUU
rnacentral:lncRNA from 1 species